AUAUAUAUAUAUUUAAAAAAUAAUAUUUUAUUUAUAAAUAUAUUUAUUAUAUAACAUUUUAUAUGUAGUAAUUUAUUACUAUUAUAUAUUAUAUUAUAUAUUUAAUUAUUACAUAAUAUAUUUUAAAUAUAUUUUAUUUAUAAAUAUAAACUAUAAUACUAAUAUAUAGAAUAUGAUAAUAAUUAUAUAUUAAUAAUAUAAAAUAUGUAAAAUAAAAAAUAUAUAUAAUAAUUUUUAUUUAUAAUUUUUUUUCCUUUCAACCAAACAACCGUCUCGGAAAAUUACUUUUCUUUUCCUACGAACCAAACAUAAACAAUGUAAAAUAUUUUUUUCCACCGAAAACUUUUUUUUCACAGAAAAUUUUUUUUCCACAGUUUUACGUGGAACCAAACACACCCUAAGCAAAAAUGUCCCAAAUU
rnacentral:lncRNA from 1 species